AGAGUUUGAUCCUGGCUCAGGACGAACGCUGGCGGCGUGCUUAACACAUGCAAGUCGAACGGACCAUUUGCAACGUUUGUUGUUGGUGGUUAGUGGCGGACGGGUGAGUAACACGUGAGUAACCUGCCCCUUGGUUUUUUGGGAUAACUGCUUGAAAGGGUGGCUAAUACCGAUGGUGCGGUUGGUGUCGCAUGACAUUGAUCGGGAAGAAUCAACGUUUGUUGGUUUGGUUGGGGAUGGGCUCGCGGCCUAUUAGUUUGUUGGUGGGGUGAUGGCUUACCAAGGCUUUGACGGGUAGCCGGCCUGAGAGGGUGGUCGGUCACAUUGGGACUGAGAUACGGCCCAGACUCCUACGGGAGGCAGCAGUGGGGAAUAUUGCACAAUGAACGGAAGUUUGAUGCAGCGACGCCGUGUGAGGGAUGAAGGCCUUUGGGUUGUAAACCUUUUUCGCUUUUGACCAAGGCACAGGUUUGGCCUGUGUUGAGGGUAGGGGGUAAAUGAAGCUCCGGCUAACUACGUGCCAGCAGCCGCGGUAAUACGUAGGGAGCGAGCGUUGUCCGGAUUUAUUGGGCGUAAAGGGCUUGUAGGUGGAUGGGUCAGUCGGAUGUGAAAUCCCUAGGCUUAACCUAGGAACUGCAUUCGAAACGGCCUGUCUUGAGUGCAGGAGAGGGCAGUGGAAUUCCCAGUGUAGCGGUGAAAUGCGUAGAUAUUGGGAGGAACACCAGUGGCGAAGGCGGCUGCCUGGACUGUAACUGACACUGAGGCGCGAAAGCGUGGGGAGCAAACAGGAUUAGAUACCCUGGUAGUCCACGCCGUAAACGAUGGGUACUAGGUGUAGGAGGUAUCGACCCCUUCUGUGCCGGAGUUAACACAAUAAGUACCCCGCCUGGGGAGUACGGCCGCAAGGCUGAAACUCAAAGGAAUUGACGGGGGCCCGCACAAGCGGUGGAGCAUGUGGUUUAAUUUGACGCAACGCGAAGAACCUUACCAGGUCUUGACAUAGUACUGCAAGGCUAAGAGAUUAGCCCCCCUCUUCGGAGGCGGUAUUACAGGUGGUGCAUGGUUGUCGUCAGCUCGUGUCGUGAGAUGUUGGGUUAAGUCCCGCAACGAGCGCAACCCUCGUUGUUAGUUGCCAGCACAUAAUGGUGGGCACUCUAACGAGACUGCCGGUGACAAACCGGAGGAAGGUGGGGAGGACGUCAAAUCAUCAUGCCCUUUAUGACCUUGGCUACACACGUGCUACAAUGGCCUAUACAAAGGGCGGGUAAGGAGCGAUCCGGAGCUAAUCCCAUAAAGUAGGUCCCAGUUCGGAUUGCAGGCUGCAACUCGCCUGCAUGAAGUCGGAGUUGCUAGUAACCGCGAAUCAGAAUGUCGCGGUGAAUAAAUUCCCGGGCCUUGCACACACCGCC
rnacentral:rRNA from 1 species